AGAGUUUGAUCAUGGCUCAGGACGAACGCUGGCGGCGUGCCUAACACAUGCAAGUCGAACGAGGUCCAUCCGGUGGCAACACCGGGGAAGACCUAGUGGCGAACGGGUGAGUAACACGUGAGGAACCUGCCCCGAAGACCGGGAUAACCCUCCGAAAGGAGAGCUAAUACCGGAUGCCCCCAUCUGAUCGCAUGGUCGGAUGAGGAAAUGGAUUCCGCUUCGGGAGGGCCUCGCGGCCUAUCAGCUUGUUGGCGGGGUAACGGCCCACCAAGGCUUCGACGGGUAGCUGGUCUGAGAGGACGAUCAGCCACACUGGGACUGAGACACGGCCCAGACUCCUACGGGAGGCAGCAGUGGGGAAUCUUGCGCAAUGGGCGAAAGCCUGACGCAGCAACGCCGCGUGGGGGAUGAAGGCUCUCGGGUUGUAAACCCCUUCCAGCAGGGACGAAUCUGACGGUACCUGCAGAAGAAGCCCCGGCCAACUACGUGCCAGCAGCCGCGGUAACACGUAGGGGGCAAGCGUUGUCCGGAUUUAUUGGGCGUAAAGAGCUCGUAGGUGGUUCGGUAAGUCGGGUGUGAAACCUCCAGGCUCAACCUGGAGACGCCACCCGAUACUGCUGUGACUGGAGUCCGGUAGGGGAGCGUGGAAUUCCUGGUGUAGCGGUGAAAUGCGCAGAUAUCAGGAGGAACACCAGCGGCGAAGGCGGCGCUCUGGGCCGGUACUGACACUGAGGAGCGAAAGCGUGGGUAGCAAACAGGAUUAGAUACCCUAGUAGUCC
rnacentral:rRNA from 1 species